rnacentral:rRNA from 2 species
UACAUGCAGUCGAGCGAACUGAUUAGAAGCUUGCUUCUAUGACGUUAGCGGCGGACGGGUGAGUAACACGUGGGCAACCUGCCUGUAAGACUGGGAUAACUUCGGGAAACCGAAGCUAAUACCGGAUAGGAUCUUCUCCUUCAUGGGAGAUGAUUGAAAGAUGGUUUCGGCUAUCACUUACAGAUGGGCCCGCGGUGCAUUAGCUAGUUGGUGAGGUAACGGCUCACCAAGGCAACGAUGCAUAGCCGACCUGAGAGGGUGAUCGGCCACACUGGGACUGAGACACGGCCCAGACUCCUACGGGAGGCAGCAGUAGGGAAUCUUCCGCAAUGGACGAAAGUCUGACGGAGCAACGCCGCGUGAGUGAUGAAGGCUUUCGGGUCGUAAAACUCUGUUGUUAGGGAAGAACAAGUACAAGAGUAACUGCUUGUACCUUGACGGUACCUAACCAGAAAGCCACGGCUAACUACGUGCCAGCAGCCGCGGUAAUACGUAGGUGGCAAGCGUUAUCCGGAAUUAUUGGGCGUAAAGCGCGCGCAGGCGGUUUCUUAAGUCUGAUGUGAAAGCCCACGGCUCAACCGUGGAGGGUCAUUGGAAACUGGGGAACUUGAGUGCAGAAGAGAAAAGCGGAAUUCCACGUGUAGCGGUGAAAUGCGUAGAGAUGUGGAGGAACACCAGUGGCGAAGGCGGCUUUUUGGUCUGUAACUGACGCUGAGGCGCGAAAGCG